rnacentral:rRNA from 1 species
GACGAACGCUGGCGGCGUGCUUAACACAUGCAAGUCGAACGGUGAACUCCGCUUGCGGGGGGAUCAGUGGCGAACGGGUGAGUAACACGUGGGCAACCUGCCCUCAGCUCUGGGAUAACUCCAAGAAAUUGGGGCUAAUACCGGAUAUGACCGCUGACCGCAUGGUCUGGUGGUGGAAAGAUUUAUCGGCUGGGGAUGGGCCCGCGGCCUAUCAGCUUGUUGGUGGGGUAGUGGCCUACCAAGGCGACGACGGGUAGCCGGCCUGAGAGGGUGACCGGCCACACUGGGACUGAGACACGGCCCAGACUCCUACGGGAGGCAGCAGUGGGGAAUAUUGCGCAAUGGGCGAAAGCCUGACGCAGCGAUGCCGCGUGGGGGAUGACGGCCUUCGGGUUGUAAACCUCUUUCAGCAGGGACGAAGCGAAAGUGACGGUACCUGCAGAAGAAGCACCGGCCAACUACGUG